UACGUAGGGUGCGAGCGUUGUCCGGAAUUAUUGGGCGUAAAGGGCUCGUAGGCGGUCUGUCACGUCGGGAGUGAAAACUCGGGGCUCAACCCCGAGCCUGCUUCCGAUACGGGCAGACUAGAGGUAUGCAGGGGAGAAUGGAAUUCCUGGUGUAGCGGUGAAAUGCGCAGAUAUCAGGAAGAACACCCGUGGCGAAGGCGGCUCUCUGGGACGGUACUGACGCUGAGACGCGAAAGCGUGGGGAGCGAACAGG
rnacentral:rRNA from 1 species